ACAGUGAUGGUGUGAAGACCUGAUGUCUUCACUGCUCAGAAACAUGUGUAAAUUAAUAGGCUACUGGGAGAAGAUGAAGAAGCUUUUGCAGAAACAUGAGGAUAUUGUGGGAAAUACUGCUGUUAACCAUUUGGAUUAUAUUGCUGUCUGACACAGAGGUUCUGCAGAUAACGUAAGGUUGUCUUAUACUGCAAUAGACACAGUCAAAUCCUGCCUGACCCAGAGCUGGCCCAAGCCUGCCGACUUCUGUAGAUAACUGCCUCUGGUGUGUGGUGCAGGUCUGAAAGCUCUUGAGUGAGUAAUGUAUUAGAAUGGUCUCCACUUCUCCAAGGGGAGCACAAGCUUGAAGUGGGGCAUGCUGUAAGUCACCUGACUUAAGGCAUCAGAGUGAAACUGGCAGAUUCAAAGCUUAACUGCUGCAUUAACUUUUGUCUUCUACUUUGAAGUCAGCUCAUUUUAAAUAGGAAAACAUGCAUCUUUCUUCAUUACCACUAACGAAGGCACUGAAGGAUGAGUCGAUGCCAUUUGUUACAGUCUGCUGUUUGCUAAAUAUGGUACCAGAAGCAGAAAAGAGUGAGCAAGGAAGCUCCUUUGGACAAGCGGGUUCUUGAUAUGAAACAUGAAAGAAAGCAGAGUUGAGUGACUUACUCAAACGCCAUGCUGUGGUCUAAGUCAGCUGUAAGCACUUGGAGCAUC
rnacentral:lncRNA from 1 species